GAGUGAUCAAGUGCCUUAAGAGCAUUCGGUGGAUGCCUUGGCAUCGAGAGGCGAUGAAGGACGUGGUACGCUGCGAAAAGUCACGGGGAGGUGCGAACAACCUUUGAUCCGUGAAUGUCCGAAUGGGGAAACCCACCCGUUAAGGGUACCCGCAAGGGAGCGAACCGGGGGAAGUGAAACAUCUCAGUACCCCGAGGAAAAGAAAUCAACCGAGAUUCCGCUAGUAGUGGCGAGCGAACGCGGACCAGGCCGUGCAGUGACACAAACAGAACUGACUGGAACGUCAGGCCGUAGAGGGUGACAGCCCCGUAUGUGUAGAAUGAUCUGCCGUUCGAGUAGGGCGGGACACGUGAAAUCCUGUCUGAACAUGGGGGGACCACCCUCCAAGCCUAAAUACUCCUCGAUGACCGAUAGUGAACCAGUACCGUGAGGGAAAGGUGAAAAGAACCCCGACAAGGGGAGUGAAAGAGUCCCUGAAACCGGAUGCUUACAAACAGUAGGAGGGCGAAAGCCUGACUGCGUACCUUUUGUAUAAUGGGUCAGCGACUUAAUCUGACGAGCAAGCUUAAGCCGAUAGGUGUAGGCGCAGCGAAAGCGAGUCUGAACAGGGCGUUCAGUUCGUCAGAUUAGACCCGAAACCGGGUGAUCUAGCCAUGAGCAGGUUGAAGGUUGGGUAACACCAACUGGAGGACCGAACCGUUGAAUGUUGCAAAAUUCUCGGAUGACUUGUGGUUAGGGGUGAAAGGCCAAUCAAACUCGGUGAUAGCUGGUUCUCCGCGAAAACUAUUUAGGUAGUGCGUUGGAUGUAUCCCUCGGGGGGUAGAGCACUGGAUGAGGAAUGGGGGCUUACCGCCUUACUGACUUCAACCAAACUCCGAAUACCCGAGAGGACUGUCCAGCAGACACACGGCAGGUGCUAACGUCUGUCGUGGAGAGGGAAACAACCCUGAUCACCAGCUAAGGCCCCCAAAUCGUGGCUAAGUGUGAAAGGAUGUAGAGACCCCAAAACAACCAGGAUGUUGGCUUAGAAGCAGCCAUCAUUUAAAGAAAGCGUAACAGCUCACUGGUCUAAACAAGGGUCUCCGCGCCGAAAAUGUAACGGGGCUAAAGCCACGUGCCGAAGCUGUGGGCUCACUUUGUGAGCGGUAGCGGAGCGUUCCGUAGGCCUGCGAAGGGAGACUCGUGAGAGCUCCUGGAGGUAUCGGAAGUGCGAAUGCUGACAUGAGUAACGUAAGGAGUGUGAGAGACACUCCCGCCGAAAGUCCAAGGGUUCCUGCGUAAAGCUAAUCUGCGCAGGGUUAGUCGGCCCCUAAGGCGAACCCGAAAGGGGUAGUCGAUGGGAACGCGGUUAAUAUUCCGCGACCAGGGAUGAGUGACGAAUGCCGGAAGUUGUCCGACCUUACUGGAUUGGUUGGGCAGCCUGGGUGUUCCAGGAAAUAGCUCCCCAAAUGACCGUACCCGAAACCGACUCUGGUGGACUGGUAGAGUAUACCGAGGCGCUUGAGAGAACGAUGCUGAAGGAACUCGGCAAAUUACCUCCGUAACUUCGGGAGAAGGAGGCCUCUGGCUCGGGCAACCGGGUUGGAGGGGCACAGACCAGGGGGUAGCGACUGUUUAUCAAAAACACAGGGCUCUGCGAAGUCGCAAGACGACGUAUAGGGUCUGACGCCUGCCCGGUGCCGGAAGGUUAAAAGGAGGUGUGCAAGCACCGAAUUGAAGCCCCGGUAAACGGCGGCCGUAACUAUAACGGUCCUAAGGUAGCGAAAUUCCUUGUCGGGUAAGUUCCGACCUGCACGAAUGGCGUAACGACUUCCCCGCUGUCUCCAGCAUCGACUCAGUGAAAUUGAAUUCCUCGUGAAGAUGCGAGGUUCCUGCGGUCAGACGGAAAGACCCCGUGCACCUUUACUAUAGCUUUACACUGGUAUUCGUGACGACAUGUGUAGGAUAGGUGGUAGGCUUUGAAGCGUGAGCGCCAGCUUGCGUGGAGCCACCCUUGAAAUACCACCCUUGUUUUCAUGGAUAUCUAACCGCGACGUACGUCCGGGACAGUGUAUGGUGGGUAGUUUGACUGGGGCGGUCGCCUCCCAAAGAGUAACGGAGGCGUGCGAAGGUGGGCUCAGAGCGGUCGGAAAUCGCUCGUUGAGUGCAAUGGCAUAAGCCUGCCUGACUGCGAGACUGACAAGUCGAGCAGAGACGAAAGUCGGCCAUAGUGAUCCGGUGGUCCCGCGUGGAAGGGCCAUCGCUCAACGGAUAAAAGGUACGCCGGGGAUAACAGGCUGAUGACUCCCAAGCGUCCAUAGCGACGGAGUUGUUUGGCACCUCGAUGUCGGCUCAUCGCAUCCUGGGGCUGGAGCAGGUCCCAAGGGUUUGGCUGUUCGCCAAUUAAAGCGGUACGUGAGCUGGGUUCAGAACGUCGUGAGACAGUUUGGUCCCUAUCUGCCGUGGGUGUCGGAGAAUUGACAGGAUCUGCCCCUAGUACGAGAGGACCGGGGUGGACGUACCUCUUGUGGACCUGUUGUGGCGCCAGCCGCAUUGCAGGGUAGCUACGUACGGACGGGAUAACCGCUGAAAGCAUCUAAGCGGGAAACCCACCUGGAAACGAGUUCUCCCUUGAGAGCCGUUGUAGACGACGACGUUGAUAGGUUGGAUGUGGAAGCGUGGCGACAUGUGGAGCUUACCAAUACUAAUCGCUCGAUCGGCUUGAUCGCUCUCAUU
rnacentral:rRNA from 2 species